GUAAGGUCCCUCCCAGUUCGGAGCCAGUUUCCCUUGCUCGGUUGGUCGGGAGGCCUCGGCUCUUCUAAGGGCGAGGUCCCCUGCUUUGAAGGAUUUAACUGACUCUGGCGUUGUAGUACUGCGCUGUCUUUUGCUGGUACCUCGCCAUGCGAACUCGGGCGGCCUCCCUUGUCUCCUCGAUUAGGUCCAGGUUAUUUCUGAGCUGUGAGGAGUUGGAGCUGGC
rnacentral:lncRNA from 1 species